UGUCGGGAGAUGUAGUCCUGGAGAAGGAGGGCGGGGUGAUCGUUCCUGCUGAGUGAGUGCGGCUUGGGGCGGGCGGAGGCACCGCUCCCGGGAAGGGCCGCGAGGGGCUCGAGCUGUUGUUGAACAGGACAAACUUGGGGCUGGUGGAAUAUUGAGGUGCAGGUGACGCAGAAGUUGGGCAAAGGUGGCGAGUAUCAGUACACAGCGGCACUGAAAUACUUUAACGAACCUGAGACACCUUUAAGGUGAAAUGUUAGAAUUUGAUCUAUUUUUGAACCAAACAAGGGAUAGCUCCACCGAAGUGGAGCCUCAAAAAAUUUCUCGACACUCGUGCCUGUUCCUCUCCACGGAAAUCUUUAGUAAAAGGCGAAAGAUUUAUACGAUCUGAAGAGAAACCAGAGUAUACCUACAGGUCUCCACCCCGAUAUACCCCACGUCUACUCCACCCUCCAUAAGUCAGGGCGACCCUCGCCUCCCCCGCCGCUCCCGGCCCUGCACCCCCGGCCCGGCCCCGGGGGUCGGAGACACCGGACAGCCCCCACGGCCCGGGCGGGGCAGCGGCGGCAGCACCGGACAGCAGCAGGGCCGGACACCGGCGGGACCGCGGGGCACCCUGGGCCACCUGUAAGUAUUGGAAGGUAUGGGGAAUGAAACAGAGAGUCCAGUGGAACUGAUAAAGGAGUCUGAUUGAGCAGAAACUGUGGGAGAGACAGACACAGAUAAGUGCUCCCUGGGCAAUAAGUGACCAAGAACCACAUGAAAUUUUGUGAUAAGAUAAUGUUACCAGGUAAAGUGAUAUCAUGAAGAAUGUGUGACCAAUGGGAAAUUUUUUACCAAAAAUAGAACCCUAUAUAAGUGCCAUACAAGUAAAGCCCUAUAUAAAUGCCUUGUAUACUCAAUAAAAUUGGCUUCUGAUCUCAA